ensembl:miRNA Mir1969 microRNA 1969
AUAGUGCUAGAGGCUGAAGACCGAGACUUUAACAUGGGUGCUCUUAAAAUCUGUUAACAUCCAUGCUGCCUUCAUUUCUGGCCUGUAGACAUCA